rnacentral:rRNA from 1 species
UACGUAGGGUGCGAGCGUUGUCCGGAAUUAUUGGGCGUAAAGAGCUCGUAGGCGGUGUGUCACGUCGGCCGUGAAAACCUGCAGCUUAACUGUGGGCGUGCGGUCGAUACGGGCAUCACUGGAGUUCGGCAGGGGAGACUGGAAUUCCUGGUGUAGCGGUGAAAUGCGCAGAUAUCAGGAGGAACACCGGUGGCGAAGGCGGAUCUCUGGGCCGAUACUGACGCUGAGGAGCGAAAGCGUGGGGAGCGAACAGG